GUCCAGACUCCUACGGGAGGCAGCAGUGGGGAAUAUUGCGCAAUGGGGGAAACCCUGACGCAGCAACGCCGCGUGAGUGAAGAAGUAUCUCGGUAUGUAAAGCUCUAUCAGCGGGGAAGAAGGAAGACGGUACCCGACUAAGAAGCCCCGGCUAACUACGUGCCAGCAGCCGCGGUAAUACGUAGGGGGCGAGCGUUAUCCGGAUUUACUGGGUGUAAAGGGAGCGUAGGCGGGGAUGCAAGUUGGGUGUUAAAUCUACCGGCUCAACUGGUAGUCGCACUCAAAACUGCAGCUCUUGAGUGAAGUAGAGGCAGGCGGAAUUCCUAGUGUAGCGGUGAAAUGCGUAGAUAUUAGGAGGAACACCAGUGGCGAAGGCGGCCUGCUGGGCUUUUACUGACGCUGAGGCUCGAAAGUGUGGGGAGCAAACAGGAUUAGAUACCCUGGUA
rnacentral:rRNA from 1 species